AACGAACGCUGGCGGCAUGCCUAACACAUGCAAGUCGAACGAGACCUUCGGGUCGAGUGGCGCACGGGUGCGUAACGCGUGGGAACCUGCCCUUAGGUUCGGACUAACUCCCCGAAAGGGGUGCUAAUACCGGAUAAUGUCUUCGGACCAAUGAUGUAUCGCCUUGGGAUGGGCCCGCGUUGGAUUAGCUAGUUGGUAGGGUAAAAGCCUACCAAGGCGACGAUCCAUAGCUGGUCUGAGAGGAUGAUCAGCAACACUGGGACAGGGAGACGGACCAAACUCCUACGGGAGGCAGCAGGGGGGAAGAUGGGACAAUGGGCGAAAGCCUGAGCCAGCAAGGCCGCGUAAGUGUUGAAGGAGUGAAGGUUGUAAAGCUCAUUUACCCGGGAUGAUAAGAACGUAACCAAGAAGAUAGGCACCGCUAAAUACGUU
rnacentral:rRNA from 1 species